UACGGAGGGGGCUAGCGUUGUUCGGAAUUACUGGGCGUAAAGCGCACGUAGGCGGCUUUGUAAGUUAGAGGUGAAAGCCCGGGGCUCAACUCCGGAAUUGCCUUUAAGACUGCAUCGCUAGAAUUGUGGAGAGGUGAGUGGAAUUCCGAGUGUAGAGGUGAAAUUCGUAGAUAUUCGGAAGAACACCAGUGGCGAAGGCGACUCACUGGACACAUAUUGACGCUGAGGUGCGAAAGCGUGGGGAGCAAAGCAGG
rnacentral:rRNA from 1 species